AUGCACGCUGGCGGCGUGCCUAAUACAUGCAAGUCGCGCGAACAGACGAGGAACUUGCUCCUCUGACGUUAGCGGCGGACGGGUGAGUAACACGUGGAUAACCUACCUAUAAGACUGGGAUAACUUCGGGAAACCGGAGCUAAUACCGGAUAAUAUAUUGAACCGCAUGGUUCAAUAGUGAAAGACGGUUUUGCUGUCACUUAUAGAUGGAUCCGCGCCGCAUUAGCUAGUUGGUAAGGUAACGGCUUACCAAGGCAACGAUGCGUAGCCGACCUGAGAGGGUGAUCGGCCACACUGGAACUGAGACACGGUCCAGACUCCUACGGGAGGCAGCAGUAGGGAAUCUUCCGCAAUGGGCGAAAGCCUGACGGAGCAACGCCGCGUGAGUGAUGAAGGUCUUCGGAUCGUAAAACUCUGUUAUUAGGGAAGAAUAAAUGUGUAAGUAACUAUGCACGUCUUGACGGUACCUAAUCAGAAAGCCACGGCUAACUACGUG
rnacentral:rRNA from 1 species